UGUAUUUCUCCGCCAAAACGCCAAACUCACCUCGGCUAGUCUUCACCAAUAGCCUCUAAACAACUUAUAACAAAAUGGCAACAAUAUGGUUAACAUGUCAGAGACAAUAACCAGGGGACGAAAUGCAAUAGGGUAAUAGAAUUUCAACUUGUACAAAUUACAGUCUAGAGGCUUCACAGUACAUAUAUAUAUAUAUAUAUAUAUAUAUAUAUAUAUAUAUAUACUUAUAUAUAUAUAUAUCAAACCUGUUCAACUACACAAUGGAUAAACGUAAAAAAAAAUGCAUUCCAAAAAAAUUACAUGAUAGACAACAAGAAAGGCAACAUCCUUCUACACAUUACGAUUCCCAAUCUGUUUCAGCAUCACAC
rnacentral:lncRNA from 1 species